rnacentral:rRNA from 1 species
AACGAACGCUGGCGGCAUGCCUAACACAUGCAAGUCGAACGAGAACUCCGGGCCUAGUGGCGCACGGGUGCGUACCGCGUGGGAACUAGCAUUUGGGUUAGGUAUCAUUCAGAGAAAUUUGAGCUAAUAACGGUUGGUCUAUUACGGCCUAAGAUGUAUCGCCUUUUGAUGGGGCCGGGUUGGAUUAGCUAGUUGGUGGGGUACAGGCCUACCAAGGCGACGAUCCAUAGCUGGUCUGAGAGGAUGAUCAGCCACGCUGGGACUGAGACACGGCCCAGACUCCGACGGGAGGCAGGAGUGGGGAAUAUUGGACAAUGGGCGAAAGCCUGACCCAGCAACGCCGCGGGAGUGAUGAAGGCCUUAGGGUUGUAAAGCUCUUUUACCCGAGAUGAUAAUGACAGUAGCGGGAGAAUAAGCUCCGGCUAACUCCGUG